CACAAUGAACAUUCUGAAUAUAACUAACUUCCUUCCUUCCUUCCUUUCUUCCUUCCUUCCAUCCUUCCUCCCUCCCUCCCUCCCUGCUUUCCCUUCCUCCCUGCCUUCCUUCUUCCUUCCUCUCUUUUUUCUUUUCUCCCUUCCUUCCUUCUUAAUAUGUUUUUGGCCUUUUCUUUAUAUAUGUGGCCUAUCAAUAUCAUGUGUUUGGAAAAGCAUAAACUUAAGGCAUCACCUUUACAGAAAAUAUCUUCCAUGGAAACAUCUAAAGGCAAAAAUCCUUCAAAUUCAAAUUUAUCCAAUCAUUUCUUCUGCUUACUACCAUCCUAAAUCAUUUUUCUUUAGUAAGAUCUAUUAGUGUGAAGCUAUUAAGCUAUUAAUGUAAGUAUCAUAUUAAUGUAUUAAGAUAUUAAGUUUCCUAAGGCAGCCUUCAAAUGGUGAUGUUUCCUGUCAUCCAGAGUUCAGAAGUGCCUUCUCUUCAACCUUUCUGUGGAAUUCUAAACCACGUGAUAAAGGAGCUGGUGGCCACAGAUCAGCCCUGGGGUUCAGAGGGAUCCUGACGGCUACUCCUCAAGAUCCUCUCUGUUGUGAUUCAUCCCCCCCAGGCCCUACAGUUUCUCCUUCCUGACUCUUACAUUUCUUUGGAUGGCAUCACUAUU
rnacentral:antisense_RNA from 1 species